CUGGACUGGAGCGAAGCCUGAUCCAGCCAUGCCGCGUGUGUGAAGAAGGUCUUCUGGAUUGUAAAGCACUUUAAGUUGGGAGGAAGGGCAGUUACCUAAUACGUAUCUGUUUUGACGUUACCGACAGAGUAAGCACCGGCUAACUCUGUGCCAGCAGCCGCGGUAAUA
rnacentral:rRNA from 1 species